UAAAAAGCUCGUAGUUGAAACUGUGUCCUGCGGCGUCGGUCUACCGAUUGCGGUACGACAGACGCGUCUGCGGGGCUUCUCGCCGGUGGGUCKUYGGUGGURUAKWYUGUGCUUGCGCARWCUUURWCACUUUGAUUCGCGGCUGUUUACUUUGAACAAAUUAGAGUGCUCAAAGCGGGCUAUUUUCGCCUGAAUAUUGUGCGCAUGGAAUAAUAGAAUAGGACCUCGGUUCAAUUUUGUUGGCUUUCUGAUACCAGAGGUAAUGAUUAAUAGGGACAACUGGGGGCAUUCGUAUUGCGACGUUAGAGGUGAAAUUCUUGGAUCGUCGCAAGACGGACUAAAGCGAAAGCAUUUGCCAAAGGUGUUUUCAUUAAUCAAGAACGAAAGUUAGAGGUUCGAAGGCGAUUAGAUACCGCUGUAGUUCUAACCAUAAAUGAUGCCAGCCAGCGAUCCGCCGGAGGAAUUAUUUUGAUCCGGUGGGCAGCUCCCGGGAAACCAAAGCUUUCGGGCUCCGGGG
rnacentral:rRNA from 1 species